GGAUAUGAGGGUGCUCUGAUUGUGACAUCUGUCACUCCAUUGAUAAAGGGUUGAUCUGGCAGGUGUCCUCUUCCUCCCUCACUGCUCCAUAAGCAUUCUUCCCAGCCACCCUUUGGUUAGGGUAGAUGAGCAGCAGCUUCACUUCCCUGCUAGAACCUCCAAUCAAGCUCUUAAGUUACCUUUGCAAUCCAGCCUCAACCUUAUCUCAGCUUCAACUUGAAACCUACAGCUGUGUGAUUUUUUUUUU
rnacentral:snRNA from 1 species